AUGGGCUGGGCUCUGCCUCUGCUCCGCGUCGUCUGCCUCUGCAGCCUUCUGGCGGUCGCUCGCCCGGCCAGGCCGGCCAACGUCUCCAUCGGCGCCCUCUUCACCUUCGACUCCGUCAUCGGGAGGUCCGCCAGGGCCGCCAUCGACCUCGCCGUCGCCGACGUCAACCGCGACGCCAGAGUCCUCAGGGGGACGCACCUCAGCCUAGUCGCGCAGGACACCAAGUGCAGCGGCUUCGUCGGCACCAUCCAAGCGCUGCAGCUAAUGGAGAAGAAGGUGGUGGCGGUGGUGGGGCCGCAGUCGUCGGGGAUCGCCCACGUGGUGUCGCACGUAGUCAACGAGCUCCACGUCCCGCUGCUCUCCUUCGCCGCCACCGACCCGGCGCUCGCCUCCGCCCAGUACCCCUACUUCGUCCGCGCAGCCCGCGGCGACGACUCCUCCCAGAUGGCCGCCGUCGCCGACAUCGUCACCUACUAUGGCUGGAGGGAGGUCACCGUCAUCUACGUCGACAACGACUACGGCCGCGGCGGCGUCGACGCCCUCGGCGACGCGCUCGAGGCCCAGCGCGCCAAGGUCUCCUUCAAGGCGCCCUUCCCUCCGGACGCCGACCAAGCCGCCAUCGCCGACCUGCUCGUGCGGGUCACCAUGAUGGAGUCCCGCGUCUGCGUCGUCCACGUCAACCCGGACUCCGGCCUCGCCGUCUUCGCCGCCGCGCGCUCCCUCGGCAUGAUGGCCUCCGGCUACGUCUGGAUCGCCACCGACUGGCUCGCCGCCGCCCUCGACUCCACGCGGCCGCCCAAUCCCAGGGCGAUGAGCCUCGUGCAGGGCGUGGUCACGCUCCGCCAGCACACCCCGGACUCCGGCGCCAAGACGUCGCUCACCUCCAGAUUCGCCGCCGCCCAGCUGAACCGGACCGCCACCCUGAACGCCUUCGGGCUCGCCGCGUACGACGCCGUGUGGAUGGCGGCCCGCGCCAUCGACGAGUUCCUGGAGGACGGGGGGAACGUCACCUUCUCGGUCGACCCGAGGUUGCAGCAGGAGGUGAACGGGAGCAGCACGCUCCGGCUGGACACGCUCAGAGUGUUCGACCAGGGGGAGCAGCUGCUGCAGAAGGUGAUGCUCGCCAACUUCACCGGCGUCACCGGCGGCGUGCGGUUCUCCGCGGACGGCAGGAGCCUGGCCGACCCCGCCUACGAGGUCCUCAACGUCGGUGGCACGGGCGUCCGGCGGGUCGGCUACUGGUCAAACCACUCGCAUCUGUCCGUCGCCGCGCCCACUCCGCUCCGAAUCAAAACUAACAGCAGCCAGCAGCAGCAGGAGCAGCGGCUGUACAGCGUGAUCUGGCCUGGGGAGACGACAUCGCCGCCGCGCGGGUGGGUGUUCCCGAACAACGGCCGUCCGCUGAGGAUCGGCGUGCCGUACAGGACGACGCAGAAGCAGUUCGUGUCCAAGGACAGCGGCCCCGACGGCGCCAGCGGGUACUGCAUCGACGUGUUCAAGGCCGCCGUGGCACUGCUCCCGUACCCUGUCCCCGUGUCCUUCAUCCUCUUCGGCGACGGCGUCAAGAACCCCAGCUACAGCGACCUCGUGAACAAGGUGGCCAACAAUGUGUUCGACGCGGCGGUGGGCGACGUGUCCAUCGUGACGAACCGGACGCGGGUGGUGGACUUCACGCAGCCGUACGUGGAGUCCGGGCUGGUGAUCGUGUCGCCGGUCAAGGAGAAGAGCUCCAACGCGUGGGCCUUCCUCAAGCCCUUCACGCUGGGCAUGUGGGCCGUCACCGGCGCCUUCUUCCUCUUCGUCGGCGCCGUCGUCUGGAUUCUCGAGCACCGCUUCAACCCGGAGUUCCGCGGAUCCCCACGCGAGCAGCUCGUCACCAUUUUCUGGUUCAGCUUCUCAACAAUGUUCUUCGCGCACAGGGAGAACACUGUGAGCUCUCUGGGUCGUUUCGUGCUCAUCAUCUGGCUGUUCGUGGUGCUCAUCAUCAACUCGAGCUACACGGCGAGCCUGACGUCCAUCCUGACGGUGCAGCAGCUGUCGACGGGGAUCCAGGGGCUGGACGGCCUCCUCGCCAGCGCCGACCCCAUCGGCUACCAGGUUGGGUCCUUCGCCAAGAGCUACAUGAUGCAGGAGCUCAACGUGCCGGAGUCCCGGCUCAAGGAACUUGCCAUCGACGACUACGCCGCCAGCCUCCAGCUCGGCCCGCGCAACGGCGGCGUCGCUGCGAUCGUGGACGAGCUGCCCUACGUCGACCUCUUCCUCUCCACCAACUGCCAGUUCAAGACCGUGGGACAAGAAUUCACCAAGAGCGGAUGGGGAUUCGCUUUCCAGCGGGACUCGCCUCUGGCGGUGGACCUGUCGACGGCGAUCCUGACGCUGUCGGAGAACGGCGACCUGCAGCGGAUCCACGACAAGUGGCUCAACCCGGGGCAGUGCGACUCGUCGCAGGGCGGCGACGUGGCGGCCGACAGGCUCAACCUCAGCAGCUUCUGGGGACUCUUCCUCAUCUCCGGCGUCGCCUGCUUCAUUGCAUUGGUCAUCUUCUUCACCAGGAUACUGUGCCAGUACGGCAAGUACAACCAGGGCGAUGACGAAGGUGGAACGCCGCCGGAGGACUGCCCGGUGCGGCGGCCGGAGCGGCUGAGGAGCAUCAGGGAUCUGAUAACGUUCGUGGACAUGAAGGAGGAGGAGGCCAAGAGGGCCAUCAAAAGGAAGUCGAGCGACGACCGCCGGGACAGGUCCAUCGCCAGCUCCGCCGGGGCAUCCUCCUUCUCCGCAUCCACGGUGUAG
rnacentral:rRNA from 1 species